GAAGGUAUAGCUCAGUGGUAGAGUGUGUGCUUAGGCACGAGGUUCUGGGUUUAAUCCCCAGUACCUCUG
rnacentral:tRNA from 1 species